rnacentral:rRNA from 1 species
AGUGAAGCGGGAUGAGCUCAAAUUUAAAAUCUGGCCGGUUUACUGGUCCGAAUUGUAGUUUAAAGAAGCGUUUUCGGUGGCAGCCUGGGUAUAAAUCCUUUGGAAUAGGGUAUCAUAGAGGGUGAGAAUCCCGUCUUUGACUCAGUGCAUGCUACUAUGUGAUACGUUUUCAAAGAGUCGAGUUGUUUGGGAAUGCAGCUCAAAAUGGGUGGUAAAUCUCAUCUAAGGCUAAAUAUUGGCGAGAGACCGAUAGCGAACAAGUACCGUGAGGGAAAGAUGAAAAGAACUUUGAAAAGAGAGUUAAACAGUGCGUGAAAUUGUUGAAAGGGAAACGUUUGACACCAGUCAUGCGGGCGGAAAAUCAGUCUUUUGUAGUGGGGAAGCGCGUGGGUUCAGACCGCAAGGCUGGCCUAUGUGUUCUCUCUGCUGCGAGUGAUGCACUUUUUCGUCUGCAGGCCAACAUCAGUUUCUUCUGCUGGACAAAACUCUAAGAGAAGGUAGCAGCUUAGGCUGUGUUAUAGCUCUGGAGCGAUACAGUGGAGGAGACUGAGGUUUUCGCAGCGUGUGCUCUCGGGCAAGGCGGAUUGGGUGCUAUGAGAUCGUUCGGCGUACAAUGCAUGCAUUUUGCGCCGUGUCUUUUUCAUACUCGCUCAACUCUGCUCUUCCACGCUUAGGAUGUUGGCAUAAUGGUUUUAACCGACCCGUCUUGAAACACGGACCAAGGAGUCUAACAUAUAUGCGAGUGUUUGGGUGGCAAACCCAUACCGUAAUGAAAGUGAACGUAGGUGCCAUCCGCAAGGUGCAGCAUCGACCGAUCUUGAUUUUUAGGAUAAUUGAAGUAAAAGCAUAAAUGCUGGGACCCGAAAGAUGGUGAACUAUGCCUGAUAGGGUGAAGCCCGAAGAAACUCUGGUGGAG